rnacentral:ncRNA from 1 species
GAAAGCCGUAUACUCUGAGAGGAGUACGUACGGUUUGGAGGGAAGUGCUUGGAAACCUACUUAAGUAAUUAAGCAAGGCGCUGGGUACUUACCCUAC